CCUACGGGUGGCAGCAGUGGGGAAUAUUGGACAAUGGGCGAAAGCCUGAUCCAGCCAUGCCGCGUGUGUGAAGAAGGCCUUCGGGUUGUAAAGCACUUUCAGUGGGGAAGAAAGCCUUGGGGCUAAUACCCUCGAGGAAGGACAUCACCCACAGAAGAAGCACCGACUAACUCCGUGCCAGCAGCCGCGGUAAUACGGAGGGUGCGAGCGUUAAUCGGAAUUACUGGGCGUAAAGCGCGCGUAGGCGGUCUGAUAAGCCGGUUGUGAAAGCCCCGGGCUCAACCUGGGAACGGCAUCCGGAACUGUCAGGCUAGAGUGCAGGAGAGGAAGGUAGAAUUCCCGGUGUAGCGGUGAAAUGCGUAGAGAUCGGGAGGAAUACCAGUGGCGAAGGCGGCCUUCUGGACUGACACUGACGCUGAGGUGCGAAAGCGUGGGUAGCAAACAGGAUUAGAUACCCCUGUAGUC
rnacentral:rRNA from 1 species